ACUUCCGGGGUAAAACUUAGGCAUGAUUAACGACCUAGAAGUGUUAAACACUGUAUUUACAAUGACUUGAUAUUUAAUGUACAUAACAACGUGUUAGAUUUGUUUAAUUAUGAGACGUUAUAGAUAUGGCGAUCCGUCCAAAUCUUCUUUGAGUAGAUUUAGCACUUUUGCUUAUAUAUUUUUAUCGUGGAAUGUGCUAGGUUAUGUGGUUUAUUCAAUUUGGCAAAAAAAGAAAGAAAAAACUUCUCCGGAAUGGAAAGAAAUGUCUUCAACUGAUAAAUACCUAAGCAUGAUGAGUGUAUCUAAGGAUAUAGAGAAAGUGAGAAUCUCGGGCUUUAAGACUGUUGAUGAGAAGACUGAAAGCAGCUCAUCUGUAGAGUAAUUCACAAUGAUAGUGUCUGUUGAUGGAAUGUUACAGAUGGACAGAGUAUCAACUAGAGUGGAGAGAGUACCAAUAUAGUUGUGUGUAACCUGACUAACUUUUAAUCAUAAACAUAGGACAGAAUGUUUUAUGUAGAGAUUUUAAGAUUUGGCAUUACUAUUUGUGUCCUCACCUAAAUUUGGAGUAUGAUAGUGUGUGUGUAUGAUUUGAAUUUUCAAAAAUGAAAAAUAAACAAUCUUUUUCUAUG